rnacentral:rRNA from 1 species
AAACUGAAGAGUUUGAUCAUGGCUCAGAUUGAACGCUGGCGGCAGGCCUAAUACAUGCAAGUCGAGCGGAAACGAUGGGAGCUUGCUCCCAGGCGUCGAGCGGCGGACGGGUGAGUAACGCGUAGGAAUCUGCCCAGUAGUGGGGGAUAGCCCGGGGAAACUCGGAUUAAUACCGCAUACGCCCUACGGGGGAAAGCAGGGGAUCUUCGGACCUUGCACUACUGGAUGAGCCUGCGUUGGAUUAGCUAGUUGGUGGGGUAAAGGCCUACCAAGGCGACGAUCCAUAGCUGGUCUGAGAGGACGAUCAGCCACACUGGAACUGAGACACGGUCCAGACU